rnacentral:misc_RNA from 1 species
GUCAGUAUCAACUUGACGAAUAUUGCAUCAACAGAGGACUUCAGCGGGGAUAACAGCAUUUGGACUAAGAAGGAAUGGAAAAUUGGGGAGAUUCCAGAAGAAGCACCCCCAGACAGAUAUGUUUUCUAGGAAUGCUUCUGGGACUUGUCUAUUGAAGGUUUUCAGUUCAUAUUAGAUACAGAAGAAACUCUUUUUUCGCGUCAACGUAGAAGCAGAAAAUUU